rnacentral:lncRNA from 1 species
CUUUUCGAGGUAGGAGUCGACUCCUGUGAGGUAUGGUGCUGGGUGCAGAUGCAGUGUGGCUCUGGAUAGCACCUUAUGGACAGUUGUGUCCCCAAGGAAGGAUGAGAAUAGCUACUGAAGUCCUAAAGAGCAAGCCUAACUCAAGCCAUUGGCACACAGGCAUUAGACAGAAAGCUGGAAGUUGAAAUGGUGGAGUCCAACUUGCCUGGACCAGCUUAAUGGUUCUGCUCCUGGUAACGUUUUUAUCCAUGGAUGACUUGCUUGGGUAAGGACAUGAAGACAGUUCCUGUCAUACCUUUUAAAGGUAUGGAGAGUCGGCUUGACUACACUGUGUGGAGCAAGUUUUAAAGAAGCAAAGGACUCAGAAUUCAUGAUUGAAGAAAUGCAGGGUUUUUAAUGACCACAACAAGCAAGCAUGCAGCUUACUGCUUGAAAGGUGAGGAUUGGAAAUGUUGGGACUAUUAUAAUUGCAGAAUACAUGAUGAUCUCAAUCCAACUUGAACUCUCUCACUGAUUACUUGAUGACAAUAAAAUAUCUGAUAUUCUGCA